AGCGAAGCAAUUGGAAGUGGUUCCAAGAAAAGCCUCUAAGCUUCAGUCUAACGAUGACCGUACCGCAAACCGACACAGGUGGGCGAGAUGAGUAUUCUAAGGCGCUUGAGAGAACUCGGGAGAAGGAACUCGGCAAAUUGGUACCGUAACUUCGGGAUAAGGUACGCCCUGGUAGCUUGACUGGCCUGCGCCAGAAGGGUGAAGGGGUUGCAAUAAACUGGUGGCUGCGACUGUUUAAUAAAAACACAGCACUCUGCAAACACGAAAGUGGACGUAUAGGGUGUGACGCCUGCCCGGUGCCGGAAGAUUAAAUGAUGGGGUGCAAGCUCUUGAUUGAAGUCCCGGUAAACGGCGGCCGUAACUAUAACGGUCCUAAGGUAGCGAAAUUCCUUGUCGGGUAAGUUCCGACCUGCACGAAUGGCGUAACGAUGGCCACACUGUCUCCUCCCGAGACUCAGCGAAGUUGAAGUGUUUGUGAUGAUGCAAUCUACCCGCGGCUAGACGGAAAGACCCCAUGAACCUUUACUGUAGCUUUGCAUUGGACUUUGAACCGAUCUGUGUAGGAUAGGUGGGAGGCUAUGAAACCGGAACGCUAGUUUCGGUGGAGCCGUCCUUGAAAUACCACCCUGGUUUGUUUGAGGUUCUAACCUUGGCCCGUGAUCCGGGUCGGGGACAGUGCAUGGUAGGCAGUUUGACUGGGGCGGUCUCCUCCCAAAGCGUAACGGAGGAGUACGAAGGUACGCUAGGUACGGUCGGAAAUCGUGCUGAUAGUGCAAUGGCAUAAGCGUGCUUAACUGCGAGACCGACAAGUCGAGCAGGUGCGAAAGCAGGUCAUAGUGAUCCGGUGGUUCUGUAUGGAAGGGCCAUCGCUCAACGGAUAAAAGGUACUCUGGGGAUAACAGGCUGAUACCGCCCAAGAGUUCAUAUCGACGGCGGUGUUUGGCACCUCGAUGUCGGCUCAUCUCAUCCUGGGGCUGUAGCCGGUCCCAAGGGUAUGGCUGUUCGCCAUUUAAAGAGGUACGUGAGCUGGGUUUAAAACGUCGUGAGACAGUUUGGUCCCUAUCUGCCGUGGGCGUUGGAAGUUUGAAGGGGGCUGCUCCUAGUACGAGAGGACCGGAGUGGACGAACCUCUGGUGUACCGGUUGUGACGCCAGUCGCAUCGCCGGGUAGCUAUGUUCGGAAGAGAUAACCGCUGAAAGCAUCUAAGCGGGAAACUCGCCUUAAGAUGAGACUUCCCCGGGGACUUGAUCCCCUUGAAGGGUCGUUCGAGACCAGGACGUUGAUAGGUCGGGUGUGUAAGCGCAGUAAUGCGUUCAGCUAACCGAUACUAAUUGCCCGUACGGCUUGAUC
rnacentral:rRNA from 1 species